ACCAUCAUCCUUGUUGGCCCUUGUUGGUCCUUCCCAUUGUCCACCCUUGUCGGCGAUAUUUCUCGUGGGUUUACACCUACAUGCUUUCUUGGUCUCGUGGUGGCGAUCCUUGUGUUGGUCCAUAGUGGAUGAUAUGGCCUCUUUCUUCACCAAUUUCGAGUUUCUUCAUUGUGUGAUCCCUAGUAGGGGUGAGCACGGGCUGGGCCGGGCCCAUUUUUUAAGGAACCGGACCGGACAUGAGUUUAAAAUAAAUGGGCCGGGCCGGGCUGGGUACAUCAUAUUUCAAUACAGAAAUCAGACCUAACCUGGCCCGUUUGAAACGGGCCGAUCCGGGCCAGGUCCACGGGUCUUUUUUUUUUCUCUCUCUGUUUAAGAUUGAUUCAGCUCCAGAACCCAGUUCCAAAUUGCAAUUCCAAUUCCAAAUCCAGUUCCAAAUCGUCACCAAACCUAGUUCUUACUUUAAUGUUCUUCAAUCUUUACAUGAGCAUACCUCUCUCUAGAUCUUUUGCUUUCUGCAAAAAUGGCUCAGAAUACGUUUUUCUAAUUGGCCUUUUUCUUAGCAUUAUUCACACUCACUUCACUCUCCCACAUCCUACGCGAAUCCGACCCCUCAACUCCUCCGCCUUCUCCCUCCAACUCCACCCCCGCGACGCCCUCUUCAAUUUCCAGCACAAAGACUACAAAUCCUUCACCUUAACCAGCCUCGACCGCGACUCGGCCCGAGUUAACUCGCUUCAAACCAAGCUCCCCUUGGCACUCCAGGGGAUCAAAAAUCAGAUUGCGACUGCGAUGAUGUCGGGGUGGUGGAGGAGAUGACUGACGGAGAGUGGGUGGAACCGUAAAGGGGAAGGGACGAUGCAUGCGAGACGACAAGAGAUGUAACCAAUGAUAGAACAUAUACAUCUAGCAACCUGGGAAAACUUAGGGAUCUUUAUAGAGAUGUAAGUGAUCAAAAAGGAGAAACCAGUAUGGACAGGAUUCCCAGGGGAGAUGGUGGUGGUGGUGAAGAGGUGAUUAGACUUGGCGAUUCUCGUUGGAAAUAGCACGGAGAGAGAGAGAGAGAGAUCGAGAGAGAGAGAGAGAGAGAUUGAGAAUCGAGUCGACAGAUCUGAAAGGGAGGAUUGAAGAGAGGAGAGUAUUCGAGAAGAUUUGAGAAAAUAGGAGAGGAAUAGGAAAAUGUUACAAACGGGCAGUUCGAGUACCCGUUUUCUUACACUUUUGGAAUCGGCCCGCCCCUAAAAUUUCAAAGCCCCGGCCCGCCUUGCCCCGUUUCUUUAAAAAAAUUAGGAACCGGCCCGUACCCGCCCCGAACCGCGAUUACCCGCCCCGACUCGCAGUUCCUAUACCCGUUUGCCCACCCUUAAUCCCUAGUGAUUGUGGAGGGAGGCGGACAGUUGUGCGGAUUUCUAGUGGCGGCGUUUCUAGGAUUUUCUAUGUAGUUUGUUUGUGUGUGAUGGGCUCUAAGUUUCUUAGGAUGUUUUCUUAUGUGCGUUUGUGGCCCAUUUUCUUUUUUGUGCUUAACUUGUAAUGGGCUUUGUUGUACUUGUUUUGGUUAGUAAGGAAAUGUACAAUUUAUAAAAGAGAGUUUUAACGAAAAACUCACGGUACUGUUCACUUUAAUGAAAAACCACAUUUUUACACUAAAAAGUCAAACUUGGUACUAUUCACUUUACCUUUUAUUUUGUCCUUAUCGUUAAAAGUCAAAGUUUUCAAGCCAUUUUCAUUAAUUUUCCUUUUAUAAAAUAAAUAAAUAAAUGAAGUGAUGCAAACUUUAGGGUUACUUACAUUUUAUACCUUUUAGGUUUGAAGUGUUUUUAAAAAUUGGUCAUGAGGUUUCCAUUUUUUCAAACUGCACGUUUACACCUUUUGUCUAUUUGAACGUCUAAUUAUCCAUUAAAUUGAUGAGUUUUUGGGUCAAUUUGGUACAAAUGUGGCUAUACAUAUCAACCCAAUUAUGUGUUCCACGCUCGCAAAGUUAUCAAUUUAAUGAAGACUCAAAACAUUUGUUAGACAAAAAACAUAAUUGAUACAGUUCUAAAAUCUCAAGGUGUAGUGUGAAAAAGUGAAAUCUUAUGGCCCAAUUGACACAGAACGUUAUGUGACAAUUUACUUGAGUAGAAAAAAAAACUCGAGCAUCAUGAUAUUUUGAUGUGAAAAAAAAAACGCAAACGUUUGCUUUUUUUUUUUUUUUUUUUUUUUUUUUUUUUAACAAACGAUAUUAUCUACACUAAGGUGGAAGAAGAUGAAGCUUAGCCUUACAAUAAGCUAAUAAUAAUAUGGUUCAAAUUCGUCUUUGACGAGAAUCGAAUCUAAGACCUCUUACUUACUAAUAAAGAAUGGUAAGCCUUUCUCUAUUGCCCCAAAAAAAGAGAGUAGUCGUUGUCUCAUUUGACGGAUUGAAAUAACGGAGUUUAGUGUCCGAUUAAACCAAGGGGAGCAUGAGUGCAAUUUGACUCACUCCUUAACUUGGCAAAGCAAUCCGGCCGGUCCAAGUGUACUGAUGAUCCGCGUGGCAAAAUCCCUGCUAAACUGCCGAAGGGAACCAAUGAGGCCUCCCGCAGCAAAACUACUCUAAAGAAUAAACACGCGAUCUGAGUCGUCGGCGAGUAUCGACGUCAAAAACCAUUCGCUGGAGCAAAGCAGGUCACUGAAAAUAAAUAAAUAAAAAUUAAAAAAAAACACGGAAGCUGAAGCUGUUGCGGGAAAAAGCUUGAUCAGAUUAGGGUUUCGCGAAUUCGAAUCGCCGAAAAGGUUCAAUCAAGUUAGGGCUUUUAUCAAAAUUUUAGUUAUAAUUGCUUAGUUUGUUUGCUGAAAUUUGGAAAUUUGCAGGAUAACUGAAAUGGGGGACGGCCUAUGGAACCGGCAGCAGCAGCAGCAGCAUCAACUUGGUCCCUCUGGCGGCGUGCAUAAACGACCUCGUUCUGACUACGGUACGUUCUCUGUGGCCGUGUCUCAUAGUUAUUUUCUUUAAUUGGAUGGAACUGUGAUUGGAUUUUUUGCAUUAUAGAUUUAGUUGUCUAACAAUUUAAAUAUGUGACCUUUUUUGUUUUUUAUUCGAGCGAUAUUAUAGUCUAAUCGAAACUAUGGGGAGUGGAGGAUCUGAACUUGGGUGUAAAGAGGGAGCACACUGCUCAAGUGUUAGCUCGAAGUCUGAUUUUUGUGCCAUAAGUGUUUUUGCUUUAGUAGUUCUUGAUGGGUUUUCGGGUUUCACUGUAAAAUUAUGUUCAAAAUGGUGAAUUUUGUGUGUAGAGUAUCUAUCGUUGACAAAGAUUCCAGUUCGGUUGUCUGAUGACUCUGCUUGUUUUUAUCUCCAAUUAUUCCUGCAGAUAUGCAGUUUCUGGUUUUGUAGCUAGGUGCCUUCUUUUCUUUUCCUUUUUUUGAAAAAAAAUGAAAAAUGUUUGCUUCUGUUUUUAUUCUUACAUCUUCAGGUACUUCAUGAAGUAUAUAAUAUAGUUUAGCCUUUUUGUUACACUUGCUACAAUUGGGGUGAACAGUCAUACUUGUAUGAUUCCAUAUCAUAAUGUAUCUUUCAAGAAAGCUUUACUAGCAGAUGAUUUCUGUCGUUAUUUUCUUUGUAACCAAAUCACAGUUUGUCGCUCUUAUGUUUCUUUCAGUCCAUACUGAAUAAGCUGAACCCAAGAAAACCUGGUUCAGUGUGGUUGUUGAGACCUAUGUGCAAAAUGAAAAGUACUACAUUACACGGUACUUAAGAAUGGGUAUUUUCCCCAACCCAACCAAAUCCCAAACCUCUAAAAUGAUAUCAAGUAGAUUCUUCCCUUUAUGUGCGGCCAGUCUUCCAAUCUAAUGCUAUUUUUCAAUAAUGAUGGUAAUAAGAUUCCCCAUACAUAUUUAUGAUGCAUAUUAUUGAUAUAAAUUUUGAUAACCAAAUCCCCUUUUUUUGUUGAUUUAGUUAUUUGUCUGUUGAAUAGUUCUUGUUAUAAAUUCAUAGUCACGAUCAAAAGCAUAGCCUUGUAUAGUCUUAUGUAGAUGUUUCGAUUGGUAUGUUUUCUUUGUACUUUUGAACCUUGAAAGCAGUUUUACUAGUUCAUCACCACCUUGUUUGUUAACUGCUAGAUGAGGUAUAUUCUACAUCCCCCUAUUACUUCUCAACUGGUUUCUUGAUUUAUGUUCUUUCAUUUCUUCUUUUUAUGCCUUUUCUCUUGUUCAAUAGUUGUAAUAUUUACAGCUGAAUUAUGUCUGUUUGUUAAUGUUUUCUCAGUGUCUUGCCUUUUUCAUAAAGGGUAAAAUAUGCGUUCCGUGCAUUAAUUUUGUCAAGGAUCUCAACUUUUAUUUUUCAAGUUAGGAAACAACUUUUCCCCAAUUUAUUUUGUUUUCAGGGGAAAUGUGAAACAUGGUGAAUAGUUAGAAACACAGAUAGGAACCUUUCAACUGGAAUGAGUAUCUCAGUCUUCCUCAGAGCAUCUGUUGUUGGCCCUCACUUUUAACGUUUGUCGCCUCUCUCUGCUUUUCUUUCUCCUUUGUAUCUCGUCUCUCACACUCUCUCUACACCCUAAAAACCUGCACUCCAGCCCCACUCCCAAAGCCUGUCUGAGAGCCAUUCUUCGAAACCAAUAUGUGGACCCUCUUCUUCUUCAACACUCCCCCCCCCCCCUCUCUCUCUCCCUCUCUCCCUUCUCAAUGUUGUCAUCUCUGUCUCAGAUGUGAAACCAUUUGGUUGUGGAUAAUAAGUUUGAUGUGAAUAAUUCUUACGUGAUAAAUUUGAAUGAUAGAAUUUGGUAUCAUUUCAAGUUAAAUGGAGUCGACAAGAAUUUUGUUGAACUUGUGGAGAAAUGGAAGAUGCUACUUGUAUCAGAUAUAGAGCUGAUAUUGGAUAUUUGACAUUGCUUUAUUUCAUUGUAUCAGUUUCUUUGUGGUGUCGAAAUGGUUAUGGUACUUGUAUGGCAUAUAGAGCUGAUGUUGGAUGUUUGAUGUUGCUUUAUUUUGUUGUAUCAGUUUCUUUUUGGUGUUGGAAUGGUUAUACUGUACUUGUAUCUGUUUCUUUAUCUCUUCUUUUGGUGAUGCUUUAUAUUACUUUAUUUUAUUUUUAAAUCUGGAAUGGUUAUACUGUACUUGUAUUGGGUGUAUAUUUGGUGUUGGAUGUUUGAUUGAUAUGAAUGUUCCAGUUAAAAGGCUCUAACUCACAAUGGUUUUGGUUAGAUUUGCUACGUCCAUGGGAUAAGUCAAUUUCACUUUUGUGCCAUUUAAAGGGGCUCUAACUCACAAUAAAUGUUUGGUUCAUCCGCACGUCUUGUCAAAAUGCAUUAACAUUGGUUAUGUGUUUGGUUAUAAUACUUAGUUGAAGCUAAUUUUCAAAUAUUGCUGCUUAAUUGCAAAUUCUGUAAUUCAAUCCUUUCUCAUACUAACAAUGAAUUCAUUUUCACUGUUUUUGUUUUAAGAAAUAGUUUUCAAACUAUUCUACCAGACGCAUUCUCUAAUGUUAAAAUGCAAAAAUAUUAUCUUGUUUUCAUUUUUUGAAAACGUUUUAUGCAGAUGGUUUUGGAAAACAUCACCAGACAGGUCCUUACUUUUCUGUAUUGUCAACCUGUCUUCAGGUCAAGAGAUGCAUGGUUAUUUUGCACGAGAGGAUGAUAUUGGCGGUCCUAGGACUGUAAAGGAUAGCAGAUCAAUCGGAUCAGCAUAUGACCGCUAUCUUCAGAAUGCGGUGACUUUCUUAAGCAUUUGAAACUAUGCUUAUUAUUCAUUGUGAUACAGCUCCCUGUUUUUGUAUUUGUACCAAAACAUUAUCCUACUUUCUUUUAAAGGAAAUGCCUUCGUACACUUCUGGAGAAGCGAGUACUUUUGGUGGAGCUGGAAUGGGAAGGGCUGUUGGUGGUGGAAUGUCAGGUCCUCCAAUGGCUGAUCAUUCUAUGAGGGGUCGUCCUGGAGCUAUGUCUUCUGAUCUACUAACAAAUGGUCGAAAUAUGAAUCUUGCUAAUCAGCUCCCAGUAGAUGCAACGGCUAGGCCUGGACGUGAAACAGUUCCUUUGCCUCUGGAUGCAUCCAGCACUUUAUAUGUUGAAGGACUUCCUCCUGACAGCACAAGGAGGGAAGUAGCUCGUAUCCUUUAUGAUCUUUCUAUUAUGCUUAAGAGUUAGUGCAUUUUGCUGUUUCCAAUCUUAUUGCUUAACCCAAUAAAUUUUCCAUCGCUGAUCCUUUACAUUACUCCAAGAUAUCUUUCGUCCUUUUGUGGGAUACAAAGCAGUGAGGCUUGUGAGCAAAGAGUCCAAACAUGUAUGUGGGGGAGGAUUAUUGUAAACAAUUACUUUUCUUAGUCAUUCUGUUUUUAUUGUUCACUCUGACUUGAGAUUCUUGUUGUGCUACUUGAUUUGACUUUUGGGAAGUUUAUAAUCUGUCUUCACACUAAUAUUCCGGUUUGUCCAUAAUGCAGCGUGGUGGGGACCCUCUUAUUCUUUGUUUUGUGGAUUUUGAAAAUCCAGCCUGUGCAGCAACUGCUAUGAGUGCGUUGCAAGGUGAUUGCUUUUUCUUGUCAUCAACCUUGGUGGCUAUCAGUUUCAAAGAAAGCUUGUUUCUUCCUUUUGUUUUUAUUUGUUUCCUUUAUAACUUUGUAACUGCUAUUUCAAUGGUACCUUAUUCAAUCAUGUAAAUGGUAAAUUUAUGCUAGAAUUCUUCAUGCAUAGCCAGGUGUAAAGAGGAUGAGGCAGUUCACAAAAAUGUUAUAGAUGGUUUCUUGUAAUUGGAGUUUAUGAUACCUCUACACUCUAGAUCCUGUAGAACUAGCUUGCGUUGCUCAUUAUAAUUUCCCAUGCUAGUGGUUUUUGAAAUGCUGGAAGAUGCUGACAUUUGUGUUGCUUUCGCAGGUUAUGAAAUGGACGAACACGCUCCAGAUUCUAAUUACUUGCGGCUGCAGUUUUCUCGGUUCCCAGGUCCCAGGUCUGGACCUGGACGUAACAAGAGGUGAUAGGCAUUAGGUAAUGAGAAACAUCUGUGUUGACGUAAUCAAGAUUAUAUUAGCUCUUAUACAUUCCAUAUAUAUUCUCCUUUCUGUAGUGGUAACCACAUUGUACCCAGAAUAUACAAUGUUAAUUGCUCAGGCUUGGGCACACACUAACUGUAAGUACUUGUUAUGCACGCUGUUGUUUCCAGGUAGUGAAUUCAGAUAGUUUUAUAGUAGUUCUAUUUAACGGAGAUCUGAUUUUGCAUUUCCAUGGUCUACGAAAUUUACUGAAGGAAUGUUUUUAAUUCUGAAUAUCUUCUUCUCUUUGACGAAAUUUACUGAAGGAAUGUUUUUAAUUCUGAAUAUCUUCUUCUCUUUGACAAUAUACCAUGUAUAGACUACCGCAAAAUUAGUAGAGAUAGUUUCCAUACAGAUUGUUUCCAUAUUCUGGAGGACUUCCAUUGCCGGAGUAUCUUGCCACCAUAGUGUCCCGUGCCAAUGACAUAAUGUGUUGUGGAGACACUUCAAAUGGCACUAGGCAUGUGUUGUACCUGUCCCAUGAAAGUUGCUCUCCAUAUUUAGAAGCGGGAAUCAUUCUUGGGGAUGGAGAUACAUAUGAAGAAGAAUAAAACCCUAAUCAAAGGGGUGAAAUCUUCCACAUUUGAUCACCAAAUUAGGUGGCUUAAGCAUUCAAGUGCAACAUGAAAUGAACUGCCUCCGUACAAGAGUAGUUAGAAGCAAUCUGGAUGUUGCAAUCCUAAUGGGCCAAGAGUUGGAUUAUAGAACUAGAAAUGCUUGUAGUCUUAUAGAUGUGGCUAGCUGCCGAGGCACAAUCCCCUUGAAAACUAGUGGUUUUUUAGCAUGAUUUGCAGGCUUCCGUUAUAGAUAUUGUAUGGGAAGUGAUUUCCCAACUCUCUUUCUUACCUCGUACAACUCCCUUUUUUCUUAGGUUUAGGGUUGGAUAAAUUAAAGGAGAAUCAAUUAAAAGAACAAAAGGUGAAUGCAUAAGGAGAAAACGAAUGAAACCCUAAUCAAAGUUGUGAAAUCUUCCACAUUUGAUCGCCAAAUUACUGAUGGAGAUGCUGCUUUCUCCUUGUAUUUAGGGUUGGAUAAAUCAAAGGAGAAUUAAACGAAAGAAACAAAAGAUGAAUAACGUGAUUGCAGGAGGAGAAAACGGGAAUGUGAAGAUCACUACCCUAUUUAAUUUGUCUUUUAUUGUAGGUUGCACUGCCUGUAGAACUGUAGAAGAGCAAAGACAGUGCAUGAUGAGAAUAGACAGUGCAUGGUGUCAUGUCUAUUGGUGUUAGAAAUUUGAUCCGAGUCUUUCCUUUUUGGAUUACAGUGAAGGACUGAGGCUUAUGCUAUAUCGUCCCUCCCAAUGCUAAGCACUAGCUAGUGGGCUGCCGAUUACAUCACAUGGGCUUUGAACUCUGUCAAUUAUUUCAAAAGACCUUUGCCUCUUCAAUGAGAGCCUCUAACCCAUAAUCCUAUGCUCCUAGAGCUAGAGCUUCUCCCCACCCUUCUUGGCAUUAACACACAGCUGGGAUAUACUUUUGUAUCUGUUUCUUCACGUGAUUAAUGAUUCGUUUGAUUGCUUUCUUCAAAAGGCACUUAUACUGUAACUGCUUUUGUUGUAAACACUUUGAUUUUUUUUUAUUGAACAUCCAAAGUGUUACACAGAAAAAAGCACUUAAAAAGUGCCUCCUGAAAGAGCAUAUGAUAGGUGCUUCUCUAAAAAACACUAUUACGAGCCAAAAGCACUUCUAAAUUUUUUUUGCCAAGCACAACAUAAAACGCUUUUGGCUUUUAUAGAAGCAAUCUCAAACGAGCCCUAAGUAAAAAGAGGUUUAUAUAGGCCACUAGACCCAAACGAAAGAGAAAACUAAUAGUGGGCAAUGAAUUGGUUUUCGAUCUACCGUCAAAUUGGCAUAGAUUAUGAUUCUCUCCCUUCUUCUUUCCAUCCCCUCCUCUCACAUUCUCUAUUUUGUCUUUCUCUUUCUAUAAAAACUUAAUAUAAGAUGUUGACGUAGCUUAACCGUGACCGUUCAAAUAAGAGGGGAGGGAAGGGGAGGGAAGAAAAGAGGGGAGAGAAUCCUACUCCAAUUGGCACAACAUUCGGCAUUGUUUUGCAAGGAUGCUUUCUUCUUAGCAUUGAUUUACACACACUCUAGUAUGUGGUAUAAAACGAGCGAGGGUUUGGCUGGAGAACGAGUCUGAGUCGUUAAUGCCAUGUGGGCUGGAGGGUUUCAUUUGGUGCCAUUACUCCUUUUCGUGUUUCUAUCAUCCUUUUGGAACUGGAAGAGAAGUGGAGGGGAAAAAGGUAGUUUAGGGCAAAAAGGAUAUUGAGUUUAUAAACCAGGAAAAUGGCUAAGCAAUUAUUUGGUGCCAAUGUGACCCUUACCAAAAUAUAGACUAGUUGUGGUAAAAAAGAAAAAGGCAAAAGGGGGUAACUUUAAAUACAAAUUGUACCAAAGUGUAAAUUGUCCCACAGCUUGUCCAGGGACCAGAUCAUUGAGUUGUUGCUGCAAGCCUGCAAGGAGAAAGUUGUGGAUUAGAUAGACGCAUCGUCUUCGUUUGGUAUCAUUCCAAGUCGUCCUGGGUGUUUCUUCUUCAAUUUGGCCUCUUUCUUCCUUUGGAUUUUUGAGCUCAUGAGCAAAUUGAUUGUCGUUUUCUGUUUCCUGAAGACAAAAUUUGACUGUUUGAAAAAACACUUUUUCAUGAAAAAUUAGUUUGAAAUCUAUUCUACACCUAAAUGGACAUCAAUCAUUAAUUUUGUGUUAACUAAGAAUGUAUGUAUGAAUUCUUGUAUUAGGAUUUAGUAGUAUCUCUCUUUAUUUUUAAGUGAGAAACCUUAAGUUUGAUUCUCAUAAAUUACGAGUUCGAAACCAAACUCUUCUCGGCCCAUUAGUGUAACUCUGUUAGGCUUUCAUCCCUGAUAUCGUUGUAUAACAAAACUAUAUGCAUGAAUUAUUACUUGAGGACGGAGGAAAAAACAAAUUCACUUGACUUAUUUCCAAAUUAAGGCUUUAUUUCUUCCUGAUUUUAGAAUUACCUGAUUAUCUAGCCUAUGCUCAUACCACAUUGAACUUCAACGAUUCAAACUGUUUAUUUUUUAAGUUGCACCUCAUAGAUCAUUUUUGUGAAAUAUUAGCUAAAUUAAAAAUAUAUGAGGUAUCUAAUUGAGUACAAAAAAAAAUUGACGAACACUAUAUAUUCUAAGAAGCAUAUGAAAUUUCAUCUUAACAAUUAAAUAGGCAAAUAAUUUCGGAUUGAAUUAAAUUUUUGUAAGGAUUGUCUAUUAAUUAAGACUUAUAAAAUAGAAGGUACAUAUCGUUGAAAUUUAAUAUACUGUAAGCUCCACAACUAAUCCUCAUUUAAAAAAAAUAGAAAUCCCUUGUUAAGGCAUGUGCUUUUGAGUAGGUAAAAUUUGAAACGUGAGAUGUCGUUCACUAUGGAAACAAAGAUCGAAAGCCUUCAUGGUCCCAUUCCUUGAAUCAGAACAAAAGAACUUUAAAGAAAAGUCCUUUAACUCUGUCCAACUUUGGAUACUUUUGUUCAUGCAUGCAUUCACUGACUGAUCUGAUCUCGUUGUUUUGAAGGGAAGAGAUUUUUCAGUGUAAUCGGUAUAUGAGUUGGUACAUCACUUGUUAAUAUACAAAUGAUGAGAUAUAUGUGUUAAAAAGUUAAUAACUUAAAAAAUAAAAUUUUCCACCACUUACAUAAAAACAUGUGAUAUACUACUUGUAUUUCCGUCACAAUGAAAAAUUUCUCCUUGAAGGAUAAGAGAGGAAAUUCCAGACUAAACUACGUGGCACUACAUGCAGCAUGUCAAUUACAUCAACUCUUCAAGCUUUCAACCCUUUCAUGGCAUCUUCAAAGCAUAUGCCUAACUUCUUAGAAAUAUGACCAACAUCUAACAUUUUUGUAAUCCAUAAAGAAAUACAUACGUUAACAUUUAGAAACAAAAUCCAGACAAUAAGAGAGAGAUGGCUGUCCAGAAAAAAAGUAAGAGACAGAUGCAUCCAUUGAUAUAAAAAAGAAAGAAAAAAGAGAUGCAUCAACAACUCAAUAUUUAUUACCUAUUGAAUCGCAGUUUUACAUACAUAUCAUUGCUAAUGAGAUUGGCACUAUUAGUUAUCGAGGACAUAGCAAUCUGUAUUGUAUUUACAAUUAUAUGAGUUAAACUUCAUACAUCCUCCGAUUAAAUGACAAUAACUACUAUAAAAAUGUUUAUAUGUAAGUAGGCUACAUAAAUACACAUAAACAAAUAAGUUCUUGUAUAUAUGCUAUACUUUGAUUUGUUUAUAACAGGAAAAGGUUCCACAUUAUUGCUAGCUAGGCUAAGCUCACAUCCCUCUCACUUAAUGUAGAUAAUAUCAUUUGUUAAAAAUAAAAAAAAGACUCAACAAGGAAUCACUAUUUGUUUCUUUAUAACCAUAAAUUUAUGUAGAGCAACCGAUUGAGUAUCUCAAAGUUCUUAUUCGUAUACAACACACGUUGAGACAGGUAAUAAUUAUAACAAAAUUAAAGACUAUAAUCUUAUAACGUUUUUAGAUUAGCUAAAACAUUGGUAUACAUAUUUAGCUUGCUAAAAACAUAUGUCGAAAUGUGCCACACCUGGAGGAUUUGUAACAAAUUCAUCGUUUUAGAACAAUAAGAAAUGACACGUUGCCUGUAAGAAUUUUAUAGUUUGUUGAAUGCCAUCAACAUCCAUCACGUUUGAAAAUAUGGGCGGCAUUGUCUGGGUUGUAAGACCCCUAUAUUCGUUUGUUCCUGUGCUAAACAAGGAUGGCCUCCCUUGCCCUCCUCUUUAGAUUUCUGUUAGGAUGAGAUUAAGGUGACUUGGGGCUUGUUCCAAGUUUGUGUUUUCUACCUUCUUCUCAUUGUGUAGUUCUUGUUGGUCUCUCUAGGCCUUCUGUUUCUUUUGGCUUCGGCCCUGGUAUUGAUUUUCCCAGUUUCUCAAAAAAAAAAAAAAAAAAAAGUUAUGGGAGUCCCUCUCUCACAUUAAUAAAGUCUGGACCCAAGAAAAAGCAAAAGGAUCCGGCAAGGAUCCGUUUGCCGGAUCCUUUUCCACAGGUUUGGGUACAUUAAUGAUCACUACAAGAAAAAGGAAAAGGAUCCGGCAAUAAAGUUUGGACCCAAGAAAAAGGAAAGGGAUCCGGCAGGGAUCCGUUUGUUGGAUCAUUUCAAAAUUUAAAAUUUAAAAUUAAAUAUAAAUAAUACCUACAAAAACUGACCGCACAAUGUAUGAUGAACGAUCACGAUCACGGGAUCCCUAGGAAAAGAAUCCGGCGAGGAUCCUUUUCCCGAGAAAAGUAGGCUUUAGUCACGAUUUGUUAAGAUUAAUCUAACCUAAAAGCUAUACCACAUUCUAAACACAAAAUUUGGUAAGAAUAUGAUGAUUUAUUUUAUUUUCUCAAACUAUAGAGCAGUUACGUACUCACACACCGGCGACAAUUAUCCUCCCCCAAAUCUGGGUAUAUUUCUACUAAAAAAAAUGUUUACAUAUAGAAACCGUAUAGUAAGUUUAUUGAAAUUGGCUCUGUAUUAAUGGAAUCUCCGCAUCCGUACAUUAAAUUAGAGUGGAACUCGAGGAAAUGGAGUACAUACGAAGAUAAGAAGACGAAGAAGAAAACUACAAACUUGGAGCUUCAAGGAGAGGGACUGAGCAGGGAGUAUAAAGAAAACAUUGUAUUUUUCUUCGAAGAUCUUUCACAUUUUCUUCUUGGUUUCAAGGAGAGGGAACUGAGCAGGGAGUAUAAAGAGCCAAAGCCCAGAAUUCCACAAUGAAAAAGAAAACAUUGUAUUUUUCUUCGAAGAUCCUUCACAUUUUCUUCUUCGCUUUACAGAAUCAAAUAGCAUAUUCUCACCCCCAAGAAACGAUAUAAGAAAACAGCCAAAUUAAGGUAAAUUCGAUAUAAUGCAUUUUUUUAUAGCAACUUGGCAAACAAAAACAUAGUAGAAGAAAACAAGGAAUAUACAAAGAAAUUAAGGAAGUUUGGGAAAACGAAGAAAUAUAAUAAAGGACCAACUCUCAAUGAGUUUAUAAUACUAUAUACGGUGCAAAUGUAUAUGUUCAGGAAAUAAACUUUUAGCGAAAAUAAGCUGCAAAUUUGACUAAAUUUUUCUUCAUAUUUACACUCAAUUUUUUUCAAGAAUAUAUAUAGAGUUUGGCCAAAGGAAUUAACUUCGUUCCUUAACGAUUGAGGAGGAGUUCCUCCCCAAUUCACAUUGUGGCUGAUUAUGGACCUUCAUUCUUAUAAUCGGAAGAGUAUAGAAACUACUCUUUUUAUCGUCGAAUCCGGAAGGAAGAAGUGGUUGUAGCUUUGAAGAAGAUGAAGCAUAAAAAAGCAAUAGGCCCAGACGAUAUACCAAUCGAAGUGUGGAAACUUUUGGGAGAGACGGGUAUAACAUGGCUCACUGACCUUUUCAAUAGGAUUUUGAAAACGAAGAAGAUGCCAAAUGAGUGGCGAACGAGCACUUUGGUGCCUAUCUACAAGAAUAAGGGCGACGUACAAAAUUGCAUGAACUAUAGGGGUAUUAAGCUAAUGAGUCAUACAAUGAAGCUCUGGGAGAGAGUCAUUGAGCAUAGAUUGAGGCAAGAGACACGGGUUUCGGACAACCAAUUCGGGUUCAUGCCAGGGCGCUCAACCAUGGAGGCAAUCUAUCUCUUACGAAGAUUGAUGGAAAGAUAUAGAGAUGGGAAAAAGGAUUUACACAUGGUCUUUAUAGAUUUGGAAAAAGCGUAUGAUAGGGUCCCAAGAGACAUUCUUUGGAGGAUUUUAGAGAAGAAAGGAGUACGAGUAGCAUAUAUCCAAGCUAUAAAGGAUAUGUAUGAAGGAGCAAAGACUGCCGUAAGAACUCAUGAAGGACAAACCGAAAGCUUUCCCAUAACUGUAGGAUUACAUCAAGGCUCAUCCUUAAGUCCUUACCUUUUUGCGUUGGUAAUGGAUGAGUUAACAGGACAUAUUCAAGAUGAUAUUCCUUGGUGUAUGCUUUUCGCAGACGAUAUAGUGUUGAUAGAUGAAACUCAGGAAGGGGUAAAUGCAAAGCUUAACCUUUGGAGAGAAGUGUUGGAAUCUAAAGGUCUUCGCCUAAGCCGAUCAAAGACAGAAUAUAUGGAGUGCAAGUUCAGUGCAAAUGGAGGCCAAAACGAGUUAGGGGUGAGGAUCGGAGAUCAAGAAAUACCAAAGAGCGACCGUUUUCGUUACCUAGGAUCUAUCUUGCAAAAGAACGGAGAAUUAGAUGGAGAUCUCAACCAUAGAAUACAAGCUGGAUGGAUGAAGUGGAAGAGUGCAUCCGGCGUGUUGUGUGACCGCCGUAUGCCACUGAAGCUCAAGGGAAAAUUUUAUAGGACGGCAAUAAGGCCGGCGAUGCUGUAUGGCACAGAAUGUUGGGCGGUGAAACAUCAACACGUACACAAAAUGGGUGUAGCGGAGAUGAGGAUGCUUCGUUGGAUGUGUGGGCACACGAGAAAGGAUAAGAUUAGGAAUGAGGAUAUCCGGGGUAAAGUAGGAGUAGCCGAAAUUGAAGGAAAGAUGAGAGAAAAUCGGUUACGGUGGUUUGGACAUGUGCAAAGAAGGCCUACUGACGCUCCGAUUAGAAGAUGCGACUAUGGGACAGAGGUUCAGGGCCGAAGGGGUAGAGGAAGACCUAGGAAAACUUUGGAAAGAGACUCUAAGAAAAGACUUAGAGUACUUGGAUCUAACGAAGGACAUGACACAGGAUCGAGCACAAUGGCGUUCUAAGAUUCAUAUAGCCGAUCCCACUCAGUGACUUGGAUUUUCCAAGUCUCCAACCGAGAAGUUUUCCUCACUCGGGAAAUUAAGGGAACACUACCCCAACCUACAUGCUCCACUCAGAAAGCUUCAACAUACAAGCUUCAACAAAAGAAAAUUCAAAGAACUUAGCGAAGAAGGCUUUGGUGUAUUUAACACAAUACGUUGAAAUGAAGGAAAGCUUAUUUAUUGAUAUCCCCGAUAAGCUACAAAUAUGUACAUAUACAUGAGUCAAAAUAAACACACAAGAGGGAGCCUUCACAAAGGUUGCUUAGGAGAAGUCUCAGCAGUCGGUAGAGCCCCAGAAAGAGAAGGCACCGGAGGGGGAUCAUUUGGAGCCUCAGUACUGGACAGAACCCUAGAAGGAGGAGGCAUCAGAGGUUGAUCAUUUGGAGCUUCAUUACGCGGUACAGCCCCAGAAGACGAAGGCAAUAAAUGCCUUUGGAACAAACCCACAAAUCUCUGAUGAUCAAGUAAAACCUGACCAUCAGUUUCCUUCAUCUGGUCAAGCUUCCUCUUCAUGUUUGUAGCAUAGUCAUGUGCGAGCCGGUGCAACUGUUUAUUCUCAUGCUUGAGCCCUCUAAUCUCCUGUUUGAGACUCAUCACUUCAGCCGCCAAUGAUUCAACUUGGCGGGUUCGAGCAAAUAGGCGUUGGGCCAUAUUAGACACAGAACCUGCACACUGAACACUGAGAGCCAGCGAAUCCUUAACAGCUAACUCAUCAGACCGUUUGGAAAGUAGUCUGUUAUCUUUGGGAGUGAGAAGGUUCCUGGCCACCACCGCAGCGGUCAUAUCAUUCUUCAUCACGGAAUCCCCAACGGUAAGAGGACCAGUAGGGGAGACGAAGGAUGGGCGCCAUAUGUUGUCUGGAGAAGGCGGGGCUGCCUCUUCAACAAGGUUCAAGUCAAAACGACGGUCGGAGGGGCCAGACAUUUUCAAAGGUGUUGAAGAGAGAAGAGGUCGGACAAAUCAAGAUCUUAGAAGUGCAAGAAUGAAGCUUCUACUGGUGGAGAUUCAAGUGUGCUUUGGAACUUAAUGCCAGCCCCUAUAAAAAUCUGCACUCGACGGAGCUCGCCUGCUCAGAAAUCGAAGAGGCGUUUGCUUUCUCAAAAGCUGGGCUGCUUAGAGAUCACGAGGGUUGAUCUCAGAAAUCGAAGAGGCGUUUGCUUUCUCAAAAGUUGGGCUGCUCAAAGACCACGAAGGCCGAUCUCAGAAAUCGAAGAGGCGCUCGCUUUCUCAAAAGCUGGGCUCCCCAGAGACCACGAGGGCCGAUCUCAGAAAUCGAAGAGGCACCUACUUUUCCAGCCUUGUCAGCACCUGUCACACGCACACUCAGCUUUGCGGAAAUUAUGGGCAUUCUGUCGAAGACUUCUGGGGAAGUAGAAAACACAUGAAUCUUACUGUUCAAUCACCCACUUCCCACACGCAACAAUAGCUCAUGGGUACCACAGAUAACUUUGCCAAAGUUCUCUGCCAAAGUUGAGCACGUGAAGCUUGCAGCUCCCACUACAUCGCUCUGACCAAGAAGGGUAAAAGAAUAGCAAAGAAACAGCACUAACAAAGUUUAGACCCAUAAAUUUUGAAGGUCUAGCUACCAUAUUAUUACCCACAAGGGUAAAGGAACAGUACCACUGCUGGAUAAUUGGAAAGUCCCUGUGUGUCAACCUCUGUGCUUCGUGGCAAGGUAGACUAGCAAACAUGCCCAACCUUUACUCACAUUCGAGAAAACACUCCCAAUAAGAUUGCUUGCUCCAAAAUCGAAGAGGCACCGUCCUCCGAAUCUCGAGAGCCAGACUCCCAACAUGACUACUUUCUUAAAAAUCGAAGAGAGGGUAAAGGAACAGUACCAUUGCUGGAUAAUUGGAAAGUCCCUGUGUGUCAACCUCUGUGCUUCGUGGCAAGGUAGACUAGCAAACAUGCCCAACCUUUACUCACAUUCGAGAAAACACUCCCAACAAGAUUGCUUGCUCCAAAAUCGAAGAGGCACCGCCCUCCGAAUCUCGAGAGCCAGACUCCCAACAUGAUUACUUUCUCAAAAAUCGAAGAGACACUGCUCCCCGAAUCUUCGAGAGCCAGACCCCCAGCAUGAUUGCUUUCUCAAAAAUCGAUGAGGCAUCGUUCUCCGAAUCAAUCGAAGAGGCGCUCGCUUUCUCAAAAGCUGGGCUGCUCAGAGACCACGAGGGCCGAUCUCAGAAAUCGAAGAGGCACCUACUUUUCUAGCCUUGUCAGCACCUGUCACACGCACACUCAGCUUUGCAGAAAUUAUGGGCAUUCUGUCGAAGACUUCUGGUGAAGUAGAAAGCACAUGAAUCUUACUGUUCAAUCACCCACUUCCCACACGCAACAAUAGCUCAUGGGUACCACAGAUAACUUUGCCAAAGUUCUCUGCCAAAGUUGAGCACGUGAAGCUUGCAGCUCCCACUACAUCGCUCUGACCAAGAAAGGUAAAAGAAUAGCAAAGAAACAGCACUAACAAAGUUUAGACACAUAAAUUUUGAAGGUCUAGCUACCAUAUUAUUACCCACAAGGGUAAAGGAACAGUACCACUGCUGGAUAAUUGGAAAGUCCCUGUGUGUCAACCUCUGUGCUUCGUGGCAAGGUAGACUAGCAAACAUGCCCAACCUUUACUCACAUUCGAGAAAACACUCCCAACAAGAUUGCUUGCUCCAAAAUCGAAGAGGCACCGUCCUCCGAAUCUCGAGAGCCAGACUCCCAACAUGACUACUUUCUCAAAAUCGAAGAGAGGGUAAAGGAACAGUACCAUUGCUGGAUAAUUGGAAAGUCCCUGUGUGUCAACCUUUGUGCUUCGUGGCAAGGUAGACUAGCAAACAUGCCCAACCUUUACUCACAUUCGAGACAACACUCCCAACAAGAUUGCUUGCUCCAAAAUCGAAGAGGCACCGCCCUCCGAAUCUCGAGAGCCAGACUCCCAACAUGAUUACUUCCUCAAAAAUCGAAGAGACACUGCUCUCCGAAUCUCGAGAGCCAGACCCCCAGCAUGAUUGCUUUCUCAAAAAUCGAAGAGGCAUCGUUCUCCGAAUCUCGAGAGCCAGAUACCACAGACCACUUUUUCAAAGUGCUCUGACAGAGUUAAAACAUGUGAAACUGGCAGCUCCCACUACCGUGCUAUGACCAAGCAGGGUAAAGGAAUAGCAUUACUACUUGUUGUUAGGGAGACUCCUAUAUAUGUCGACCUCCAUCCCCAACGGACAGGCAGACCUGCAAAAAUGCUCAACCCUUCAUCAUAUCUGAGAGGGCACUCCCAACGAAGCCUUUCGAAAUAUUCAGCUUUCUUUCCCCCCGAUAAUACCUCUGCAAACAAGCUAUACUAGAGCAAGAAUAUCUCAUAUCAUCAGGGUUAAAAGCAAGAGUAUCCCAUAUCAUGCUUUUUCCCUGUCUUUUCCUUUGGCCUUGUUUUUACCUGCAAGACAAGGAGAAAGAGAGCAAUCAGUCAGCACUUGGAAUCAAGCUUCCAGCCAGGAACUGACUGCCUGGAACCCCUUACCUGAUUACUUACCUGGCAUUGCUCUCGAGUACUCAUCUUCAACAUCUUAUGUUUCCAGGGAAGAUUCCGCAUCUGCUUGAGGAACAGAUAGGGCAAGUGCGAAGGAUACAAGGAAGCAUGUGGAGACAAGCGUAACAGCACACGUGCCGAUACAUCCAUUACUCUGUCAAAAGCAAAAGUAUCCCAUAUCAGCAGGGUGGAACGUACUCUAGAUUUGAUGGACUUGUUUUGACCCUCAAAUUCUUCAGUCGGCCUUAUACUCUGGAGGAAACCAGAAAACCCUCCAGCUCAGUUCAAGAAUAAGCCUGUGGAAAGUUACUUCUUCAAAAGCAAAAGUAUCUCAUAUCAUCUCUUCUCAUUUUUCUUCUCUUUAUCCUUCAUGCUGCUGCAAGAUGGGGAGAAGGUGAACAAUCAGUCGGAGCUCUGAUUGCUUACCUUGUCUGUCACCUCUUUCAGCAGACCCCCUAGCUCGGCGACUUGGGGGACUCCUACUACAUGGUUUGUAUCGCGCUUGACCAAGCCUGAAACUACAAGUAAGCUUCAAGUGAAAUUGAUACAUUACCUUGUGCAUCUCCACCAGUUAAAGAUACCACCCCUGGAUGGAGGAAGAGUACUUCCAGAGAAGAUGCCACAUCUACCUAUGAGACAGAUAAGGCAAGUCAAGACGACACCACACUCCGAUACUUAGAAGUUUCGUGAUUACGAGAUCAUUCUCCCACAAUAUUUCCUAAUGUCAUUUGUACUAAAUCAUUCACUUGUACUCACUAAAGGAGAGCUUGAACCUAUGUACUUGUGUAAACCCUUCACAAUUAAUGAGAACUCUUCUAUUCCGUGGACGUAGCCAAUCUGGGUGAACCACGUACAUCUUGUGUUUGCUUUCCUAUCUCUAUCCAUUUAUAUACUUAUCCACACUAAUGACCGGAGCAAUCUAGCGAAGAUCACAAAAAGCGACCGUUUUCGCUACCUAGGAUCUAUCUUGCAAGAGAACGGAGAAUUAGAUGGAGAUCUCAACCAUAGAAUACGAGCUGGAUGGAUGAAGUGUAAGAGUGCAUCCGGCGUGUUGUGUGACCGUCGUAGGCCACUGAAGCUCAAGGGAAAAUUUUAUAGGACGGCAAUAAGGCCAGCGAUGUUGUAUGGCACAGAAUGUUGGGCGGUGAAGCAUCAACACGUACACAAAAUGGGUGUAGCGGAGAUGAGGAUGCUUCGUGGGAUGUGUGGGCACACGAGAAAGGAUAAGAUUGGGAAUGAGGAUAUCCGAGGUAAAGUAGGAGUAGCCGAAAUUGUAGGAAAGAUGAGAGAAAAUCGGCUCCGGUGAUUUGGACAUGUGCAAAGAAGGCCGAAUGACGCUCCGGUUCGAAGAUGUGACUACGGGACAGAGGUUCAGGGCCGAAGGGGUAGAGGAAGACCUAGGAAAACUUUGGAAGAGACUCUAAGAAAAGACUUAGAGUACUUGGAUCUAACGGAGGACAUGACACAAAACCGAGCGCAAUGGCGUUCUAGGAUUCAUAUAGCCGACCCCACUUAGUGGGAAAAGGCUUUGUUGUUGUUGUUGUUGUUGUAUUCUUAUAAUCGGAAUUAUUCAUAUUAUAAAUUACUGUGUCAAUAUCAUCUCCACAAAAAAAAUCAAUUAAAUAUAAGAUCGUUUGGUCAUGAAACUGUGUAAAAAUAGAUGAACCGAUCCGGUACAUGAAUUCCGAAACUUCUAUCUACUUGCUAUAAUUUAUUGACUAAACAAUCUUAGUUUUAAUUAAUUUUUUUUAGAGAUGAUCUUUAAUUAUAAAGUAAUUUAUAAUAUGAAUGAUUCUGAUCAUAAGUACGAACUUCUUCUCAAUCUUGAGAAGCCAAGCCUUCCUCAAAAGUUAAAUAAAAAACAAAACCAAAAUGAUGCUCGGCUUCCUGGGUACUCAGCUAAACUCUCCACCUCCUUUCAUCUUACAAGCUUCUAGAUUUAGAUUUGUCUCAAAUGACAUGCCAACUAAUCUGCCCAGCUCAAUUUUGAUUCUUUGAAAUUUCCAGUGCCUCUACUUUUUCAUUUCUAAAUCUUACUUACUCCCAUUAUAUAUAAUUAGUUUUUUUUAUAUAUAUAGAUUUAUAAAGAUGCUUUGUCUAGAUAUGAAAGACAUAGUAGUGAUUCAAAGAGAUCAUUUGGAGCCAAAAAUAGUUAGGUGUAGUCAAAUUCGGAUUUGAGAGUAUUUUAAAAGACUUUAAAAUCCUAGUAUAGUCAAUUAAAAGAUUUUAAAGGAUUUUAAACUCUAUCCAAAUCUAAGUGUAUUAAAAAAAUUAAGAUUUUGGAGGAUUUCAAUAAGUUGUGGAUUUUGUAGGAUUUGAAAGCAAGAAGUAUGUCACAGUCCCGGAGAUGUACGUUAAUUAUUUAUCGGAGGUGUGAAAAGUCGGAGUUACCCCUGGACGUUGAGUUGUAUUAUUGGUUUAAUUGUGUUUUUGGACCAAUAUUAUUAAAUCCUAAUUGUUUGGAAUCAAUUAGGAUUAGAGUUUGGUGUAUUGUGGGUUGUUGACUAUUUUGGACCACACAUCACUCCAUUCUCUCUCUCACUCCCGUGCACUCUCUCUCGGUUUCACUCUCUCUCUCCUUUGAACUCGUACGGACAAUCACCCAAAACCCUUGAAACUUCACGGAUCGUGGUCAAGGUUGGCACCAUUGUGUUCGUGAAGCUCAGACGAGUCGAUUGGUACCCAUUUCAGGUAAAGAUACCUUCGAAAACCCUAGUUUUUCAUAACCCCCGAUUUGUGCAUUGUUCAUGCACACGUAAUUAUGGAUGGUUUUGGAAUUUGAAGCUUGUAGGAAGCUUAGUGAGGUCCUAAGGAAGCUCGAAGUGCUUCGUUUGAAGGUUUUGGACGUUGGGAUCGUGUGGAUGAAGUUUGGCCAGUUUUUCUUGGAAUUCUCCGGUGAGAUCCCGUGACUUUUAAAACUUUAAAUUAGUAUGAUUGUGUUCUACAAGUUAAGAGCUUCAUUUUGGUAUAAAUUGCGUAAAAAAUGGUGCAAAAAUGAGCAAUAAAUAGGCAGUUGCAGGUUUGCCCAAAAUCCGGUGCCGGUGACACUAUUCCAGCAUCUGGAGGUUGAAGAUGCCGCGCGUGGGGGGCGCGUUUUGCCAUGCCCUUGCCGGAUGAUUGUGUUCUACAAGUUAAGAGCUUCAUUUUGGUAUAAAUUGCGUAAAAAAUGGUGCAAAAAUGAGCAAGAAAUAGGCAGUUGCAGGUCUGCCCAAAAUCCGGUGCCAGUGACAUUAUUCCGGCGUCUGGAGGUUGAAGAUGCCGCGCGUGGGAGGCGCGUUUUGCCGUGCCCUUGCCAGCGCAUGGGAGCUUGAAAAUUUUAUCUAAAAAUUUAGGGAUGAUCCUGAGGUUGUAUAGGUCACUGUGGUGUAUUCAUAUACCUAUUUUGAGCAAUGUAUGAAAAGUUAUUAGUUAGUUUCACCUAUGUGCUUUAAAAUAACGUUUUUAUAGUUAAUUCGCAUAUAGGUGAGGCUUAUCCCAAGGACGAGCGUAUCCACGGGCGACUCGGGGGCUACGACCCUUCGACAUACCAGUGAGUGGGAUUUUGUUUUCAGUAUAUACUUAUACACUAGAUAUAUUUCCUAGAAAUGCAUUUUUUUCAAGGAAACUAUGCUUUGAAAUAGUAUGCCAAAUGCUUUUAUAUUCUGAAUAUGCAUUUCAUGGUUGCAUAUAUAUAUAUAUAUAUAUAUAUAUAUAUAUAUAUAUGUGGUGUUGUGGAGGCACAGGUAAGUUCAGGUAAGUUAUGUUUGGUUAUAUGAAUCAUCGAUAAAGUGAUAUGUGAUUGAAUAAUGUUGAGCUUAUAAAACUGCACCUAAGGUGAUUGUGAUUUAGCCAGAGAUGUGAAGUACAUGCCUGUUUAUUUACGUCACCUCCCGCACUAUAUGCUCAUAUUGGAUCUAAUUUAAGUGCACAGUUUUGUCGUACAGACCUUAUUUAUGGUUCCGACUCGUAGGUGACUAGCGAUUUAUCGCCCGGCUAUUAUGAGAGAGUAAAAUUGAGCAUAAUUAUAUUACACCCAAUCUUGUCUUACAGACCCCUUUUUAGUGGUUCCGACUUAUGUGCAGUACAUUGCCGUAUAGGUCAUUGUAGUGACUCCGGCUAGAUUGACUUUGAGCUAUGAAUUCAACCGUACAGACUAUCACAGGGGUUCCGGCUAACAUAUCAUAUUUCUAUGAAUUUAUUCUUACCUGAAUUGUUUACUCUGUUAUAACUUGGCAUAACAUACAUUUAAAUAUGAUUAUGUGAAGCAUGAAUUGAAUUGAUAUGAUUUCAUAUAUAUAUAUAUAUAUAUAUAUAUAUAUAUAUAUAUUAUGUAUAUGCUUAUAUCUUGGUUUUGGGAAAAAUUAUACAUGUUUGACAGCGAGGGGUUAGUAUAUUGAUAAAUGAAAUGGUUUUGUAAAACAUUUGUUUUUGCCCACUCACGUUUUCUGUUUUGCUCCCUUCCAGGUUUUAACUAAGCUUGCUGUUGGUGGCUUGAGGACGUCGGCAGUUUUGACUUAUCUAAAUAAUAGUAGGACAUUGCUGGUACUGUAUAGCUAGUACUUGUCUUACUGGACUACACCUAGACUUUAUGCUCUGAUUAGGAGUGUUUACUGUUGUAACUAACUUCUAUCACUUUCUGUUUAGUAGUGCACUCUAGUAAAUUGGUUUUCAAUUAUUCGUAUAAUUCUUAUCAUUAUCGCUUCCGCACUGUGCACAUGGCUACGCACCCUCACGUGACGGUCAUCAUGGCUUGAUCUCGGUCGGGGUGUGUCAAAGUAUAUAUAACCAAGACUAAAAAUAAUCCAACCUCACCCUCUAGAAUUUCAAAUCAUUUUCCAUCUGAGCAGUCCUCAGAUCUCUACCAACCCCAGCUACACACAGGUAACCACCAUAUACUUUGGUGGAAUCUCUUAUUAUGACCCUUAGACUUUAAUUAGGCAUGUAUGAUCAUCGAAGGACAUGAUCGAUCUAGGAUUUUGGUUAAUACUACUCUCACACCAUUUUGAUUUUUUUUAAUGUUUGUGGUACUACAAGCACUAUUAAAGUACCACAGCAUCCAUUUGUGGGAAAAUGGCAGUCGGUGGUGAUGGUUGUUGGUGGUUUAGUGCUCAAAAGCUCACCAAAGUUAUAUUGAUCUAUCAAUUGAGAAAGAGAUAGAGCCGUGGUUGUGUGAAAGGGGACCCGAAAAGGGAGGGGAUAAAGUGGUUAUCGAGUACAGUAGGGCAAGGGGAAAGAUUUUUCCUUUUAUUUUCAAUUAAAAAAUUAUAUUAAUAUUAUCACAUCCCAUGCUCGACUCCACCGUAGCACGAUAUUGUCCGCUUUAGGCCCCGACCACGACCACAUGGUUUUGUUUUUGUGAACUCACGCGAGAACUUCCUAGUGGGUCACCCAUCUUGGGAUUGCUCUCGCGCGAACUCGCUUAACUUUUGAGUUCCGAUGGAAUCCGAAGCCAGUGAACUCCCAAAAAGCCUCGUGCUAGGUAGAGAUGAGAAUAUACAUAUAAGGCUUAGAGGAUCCACUCCCCUGGGCGAUGUGGGAUGUUACAAUCCACCCCCCUUAGGGGUCCGAUGUCCUCGUCGGCACACUUCCGACUAGAGAUUGGCUCUGAUACCAAAUUGUCAUAUCCCGGCCCGGGCCCCCACCACAUCCCAAGCUCGACUCCAUCGUAACAUGAUAUUGUCCGUUUUGGGCCCCGACCACACCUUCACGGUUUUGUUUCUAGGAACUCACACGAGAACUUCCCAGUGGGUCACUCGGUUUUGUUUCUAGAAACUCACAUGAGAACUUCCCAGUGGGUCACCCAUCUUGGAAUUGCUCUCGCGCGAACUCGCUUAACUUCGAAGUUCUGAUGGAACUCGAAGCCAGUGAGCUCCUAAAAGGCCUCGUGCUAGGUAGAGAUAAGAAUAUACAUAUAAGGCUUAGAGGAUCCACUCCCCUAGGCGAUGUGGGAUGUUAUAAUCCACCCCCCUUAGGGGCCCGACGUCCUCGUCAACACACUUCCGACUAGAGAUUGGCUCUGAUACCAAAUUGUCACAUCCCGGUCCGGGCCCCCACCACAUCCCAGGCUCGACUCUAUCGUAGCAUGAUAUUGUCCGUUUUGGGCCCCGACCACGCCCUCACGGUUUUGUUUCUAGGAACUCAGGCGAGAACUUCCUAGUGGGUCACCCGGUUUUGUUUCUGGGAACUCACACGAGAACUUCCCAGUGGGUCACCCAUCUUGGAAUUGCUCUUGCGCGAACUUGCUUAACUUCGGAGUUCCGAUGGAACCCAAAGCCAGUGAGCUCCCAAAAAGCCUCGUGCUAGGUAGAGAUGGGAAUAUACAUAUAAGGCUUAGAGGAUCCACUCCCCUGGACGAUGUGGGAUGUUACAGUAAUAUCAAUAACUUAUUGUUGGGUUCGUUAAGCAAGUGGGCAAUUAGGUCCGUUUAUGAGAGCAUAGGUGAAAUCUUUCGAUGUCGACUAGCACAGCUCAAUUCGGAGUCCUAGUGGACAUUCUGGGUUGGUGUCCAAAAUCCACCACAAUCCACCAAAAUCUACAAACUAAAACUAUUCAAAUUCUUUAAAAUCCAUAUGAAUUUUGUAAAAGUCUUAAAUCCUCCUAAACCCUAUCAAAUUUAUCACUUUUAAAAUCCUUUAAAAUCUUAGUUUGACUACACCCCCUUAGUAUUUUAAAUUGGCUUUACUACAUUGCACAUUGAGAUGAAUUUUUAAAAUGUCCAUCUAGCUUAGCUAGCUACCAUGAAAGCUACAUGAAAGCUGACUGUCAAUUUUCCAAGGGUUUUUCCACAUGAAAUGGCAUGAAAUGGGUUAAUUUCACUUUAAAUAGUUGAUAUAAAAUGAAAACAAAAGUACAACUGGUUGAGAACCUUCCUUUCAUGUUCUCCGUAUCUUAGAGGAUAACAACAGUAGCAAGUUAGGCUGGAUCAAAUACAAGAAUGAACAUGAGAACGUGCAUGCAUGGUUACCUUUUCCUUUUGUUUUUUACAGAGAAUCUUGAGAAGCAGUCAAGGGCAACGUUAUGUUUUUACUACUGAGAUCUGUGUGCUAAAAGGAGAUUACGUAGCUAGGUUCAGUCUUCACCUAACACUCCUAUUAUCACUUGUGACUGUAAAAGAUAUACUGUUGGGGUUGGCUGACGUUAAUUAGUUGUUCAUAUUGAUUUGAGAAAUUUGAUAGAAAUGAGGAUUAACGAAUUACAAUUAGAGCUGGCAAAUAGUUGGGUUUAGUUGGUUUGGGUUAGAUUCACCACUAAUUGAUUUCUACACGGGUCAUUCAAAUUCAAUCCAUUAGCUUAUGCAAUGGUGGAGCGAUGAAUUUUUCACCGGGUGAGCUAGCUUAAAGAUUUAAAUAUUUAUAAAAAAAAAACAUGAUACUGUAUUUUCACCGUAUUAGCUAACUAAAGAAAAUUUUGACAAGGUGAGCCAAGAAUAAACAAAUACUUGUUUAAAUUCAAACAAAUCCAAACUUGUACAUAUACAAGAAUUGAUGAGAAAAAAAGAAUGUAAGAAAAAGAGAUGGUUUGUAAACUGUAUUUUAUAAUUUUAUAUAGUCAAACCGAGAGAAUUUGGAUCAGUGACUAAUAUAUGGUGGACUACAUUCGAAAAUUAAUAAAAAUUACAUGUCAAAUUUUAUUUUUGGGCUAUAGCCCAAAAUAGCCCUUAACAUGGCUCUGCCAGUGAGCUUAUGGUAAAAAUGGUUGACCCGAAAUGACUUGUUUUGUUAACGAGCUAAUCAUUUCAUCCAGUAACGAUUUUUUUUUUUUUUUUUUUUUUUUUUAACAUUCAGCUGAAACCCAACUAUUUCGCGAACUAUUUUAACGGGUCAACCGUUGGUCUAGUUUUGUACUUGCCAACAAAACAAAGAACAUAUGAAAUAGUAAAUUAUUUCAAAGUAAAUCAAAUAGCGACGUAGAUUAUAUAACAACGAGUAAUCGUUUUAACAAUUAAAAAUUUCUUUUCAUUGGUUCAUACAAUUUUCGAAUUGGUAUCAACUUUAGUGUUAUUGUAUGUUUGUACCAUAUUUGACCAAUCCCGAAAUUACUGAGCACCGGUCAACGUUAUACCGUCAAGGACCCAGAAGAGUUUCCCUCCAACUAGGAGGCCAAUCACAGCGUAACACGUGUCGACAUCAGAAGCCAAUCAUAGUGCGACACGUGUCAACAUCAAAAGCCAAUCACAACACGACACGUGUCAAUGUCAGAAUGAAACUAGAAACUCUCUUCUAUAAAUAGAGAUCAUUCUCUCAUAAUAUUUCCUAAUGUCAUUUGUACUAAAUCAUUCACCUGUACUCACUAAAGGAGAGCUUGAACCUAUGUACUUGUGUAAACCCUUCACAAUUAAUAAGAACUCCUCUACUCCGUGGACGUAGCCAAUCUGGGUGAACCACGUACAUCUUUUGUUUGCUUCCCUGUCUCUAUCCAUUUGCAUACUUAUCCACAUUAGUGACCGGAGCAAUCUAACGAAGGUCACAAACUUAACACUUUCUGUUGUACCAAAGUCCUCACUGAUUUUGUGCAUCAACAUAUGGCACCGUCUGUGGGAACGACACUUAUUCCCACUUUCUUCAGCUUUGCCAAGCUGGUUUCCACCAUUCGUACACUCUCUUUUGACCAGGCAUCCCUCUUCAACAUGGGGAGCGAAGGAAGCCACAGCAUACAGAAUGACACCCCUCAUGCACCUAGUGCGAAACAACAAAGGAAGGAAGGAAAGAGGGUUGCUCUUUAAGCUAAAUUCGAUGAGUUAGAAGCUCAGAAUAACAAGAUAGCAAUGAAGAAUGAGGUCCUCUAAGAGCAGUAUGAGAAGCUCUUUGAGACGCUCCACGAAACUAGGCGUACUCAAACACGUGAGCUCGUUGCCCCUAUGGACAUCAACCAUCAUCUGGGUGCCCCCCAACACGGAGGGUCACCUCCCUUCGACAUGGGUAUCCCUAAUGAGGAGCAAGCUAAUCAUCAAAACAUUGAUCAACAUGAGACUUCUCUCAACUCAGAUGUUUCGACCCGAAGUAGAAGAAAUGGAGGAAAACACCUCAUUGCAGAAGGGUUUGAAGGAUCAAAAGUCGUUUAUCGUGAUUGCCGAGACUUCCUAAAGCAACGUCGAGAGAAUCCCCUCCACAUAUGCUCGAAGAUCAAUGACCUAAGGGUUUCUGAAAGACUCGGUCCCUUCUCACGACCCAGGCCAGCUGCUAAUCUAGGGAAGGAAUGACAGGUCCCAGAGGAAUAUGAAGGUACGGAGGACUCUGAGGUAUUCCGAUAGACUCGUCCUAUAAGUCAGUACGGCGAGUCCAAGAAAAAACCACACGCCCUUACUCAAACUUUCCUACUUCCAAGAGGCGAUGGAAACUUACGAAAGAAAAUUCCAGUGGUACAUGACUUUACUCAGGACCCCCUUGUCCUUCAGCUUCUUGUGGAAGUAACCAAGUUGAAGGCCGAACGUCAGGCCGAGAUACCUGACUCGAACCAACCUAGGCAUGGCUCUCUCAUAAGAAGGAUCAUCGACACCCCCUUUCAAGUGAAGACAAAACAAAAGCUUAGUUUACAACUCUAUACUAGAAGGGAGGACCUAAUUGAACACCUUAACCUCUUUGAGGCCACCAUGGCAUAUCGGAUGCAUACUGACGAAGAGUAAUGUCUUCUCUUCCUCUCCACCCUCUCUGGCGGAGCUCUAAACUGGUAUUGCCAUCUUCCACCUGAGACAGUAGACUCAUUUGAGGAAUUGAGGAAACUGUUUGUCUCUCAACACAUCUUCCAGACCGAUCACUUGCAUUCUACGGAUGACUUGUACACUAUUCGCUAGAAGCCGGACGAGUCACUACGAGAGUAUGUCGGUCGCUUCAGCCAUGAGUAUUCUCGCUGCACUGAGGCAGAUGACAAGACCGCCCUCAAGGCCUUCAAGGCAGGCCUACGUGAUUGUUUCUUCAAGUACAUGAUCAAUGCCAACACUUGGAAGACUUACUCUGAGAUGAUGGCACAAGCUUACAACCACGCCUACGCCGAAGUAAAGACAUACCAAGGGAACCCCCAUAUGGUUAACCCCUAUCAAGAAAUGGGAAGUGGAAGUCAAGUUCUACCAAGUGAGGAGAUAUUAGCCUUUCAGACACCCAUUGCAUCAUCUCCUGCCUCAUUUAGCUACUCGCUAAGUCACCAAACGUAUCUGUCUCUUUGUAAGAGGAAGGAUUUUUACUCUCAGCAAGCCCAUUACAGCAAGAGGGAUAAAAGUUCGUAUCAAGACAACCAGGGGUGAACGUACCGUCGAUUAUUAUGUCUAUAGGGCCAUGCCUCACUCUUUCAAAGUGAAGGACUAGGUACUGAAGGAAAUGUUAUUAUAAGAAGGCAUACACAUUACAAAUGUUUUGACUCUUAACCGCUUGAGAUCUUUUGUCACACAAGCCAUUCGGCAAAUAUUUAAAGAAGAGGGAAUUCAUACAACUUCUUCUGAGUCUUUUGCGUUCCUAGCACUGGAACACUUGGUCUACAUUGACCUACCCUUAUACUCCAACUCAGAGCUUCAACAUGCGUACUUUGACACAAAGUAUGUGAUACUAAGUGUUACAACUAACAUGGUUCACAUAUCAAAAGCAUGGAUCCCUUCAUGCAUAGCAAAACAUUCAUCAGCAUCACACAUAUCAAUCAACAUAAACAUUAUACAUUCCAACACAUUCAUACAUAAACAUCAUACAUUCCAACACAUUCAUACAUAAACAUCAUACAUUCCAACACAUCCAUACAUAAGCCAACUGUGCUUCAAAAGGGUUCAACAUACUUUGUGUCUUCAACACUUGCUACAAUGUGCCUCGACACCUUGCCCUUAUUCUCACCAACCAGGUGAUGAAAUGUGAAGAAGGAACUCAUCUUCAUGCCACCAACCAAGUGAUGAAAUGUACAACCCGUACUCUAAUAUCAUUUGGCAACUUGCCACUCAUGCCACUAACCAGGUGAAGAAGGAACUCAUCUUCAUGCCACCAACCAGGUGAAGAAGGACCUCAUCUUCGUGCCACCAUCCAGGUGAUGAAAUGUCCAACCCGUACUCUCCUUCAUGCCACUAACCAGGUGAUGAAAUGUACAACCCGUACUCUAAUAUCAUUUGGCAACUUGCCACUCAUGCCACCAACCAGGUGAAGAAUGAACUCAUCUUCAUGCCACAAACCAGGUGAUGAAAUGUACAACCCAUACUCUCCUUCAUGCCACCAACCAGGUGAUGAAAUGUACAACCAGUACUUUAAUAUUAAUUGACAACUUGCCAUUCAUGCCACCAACCAGGUAAAGAAGGAAAACAUCUUCAUGCCACCAACCAGGUGAUGAAAUGUACAACCCGUACUCUCCUUCAUGCCACCAACCAGGUGAUAAAAUGUACAACCCGUACUCUAAUAUCAUUUGGCAACUUGCCAUUCAUGCCACCAACCAGGUGAAGAAGGAACUCAUCCUCGUGCCACCAACCAGGUGAUGAAAUGUGAUGAAAGGUGAUGAAGGAACUCACCUUCGUACCACCAACUAAGUGAUGAAAGCAACUCACCAUUCAUUCCACCUACCAGAAGACGAGUGGUACAACUUGUACAUGUGAACUCUUAGCAUUCACAAAUAAUCAAAAACCCUCAAGCUUGACAACUCAACUAGGGGAGCACUUAUGCCUAACAAGAGUUAUAGUCACCAAUAAAGUCUUAUUGCAAGCCAAUAACAACUUCAGUGCAUGGCAUACGAAGAUUAAGCUAUUCAGCCCUCUUGCAUCUGCUUCAAGCAUUUCCCCUCUGUAACAAUGCAAACACUACAACUCGUAGAAAGCUUCACACACUCUUGAUCAAGACAGUGUGAAGCAAAACCAAUUUAUGGUGCUAACAAGAGCUUCAUCAAAGAAGUUCAACCACAAUUCUUAAAAACUUCACACAUUUUUUAUCAAGACAGUGUGAAGCAAAACCAAUUUAUGGUGUCAACAAGAGCUUCAUCAACGGAGGGCAACUACAAUUCUCAAAAGCUUCACACACUCUUGAUCAAGAGAGUGAAGCAAAACUAAUUUAUAGUGCCAACAAGAGCUUCAUCAAUAGAGGGCAACCACAAUUCUCAAAAGCUUCACACACUCUUGAUCAAGACAAUGUGAAGCAAAACCAAUUUAUGGUGCCAACAAGAGCUUCAUCAAAGGAGUUCAACCACAAUUCUCAAAAGCUUCACAUACUCUUGAUCAAGACAGUGUGAAGCAAAACCAAUUUAUGGUGCCAACAAAAGCUUUAAAUUGGUGCCAACAAGAGCUUCAUCAAUGGAAGGCAACCAUAAUUCUCAAAAGCUUCACACACUCUUGAUCAAGACAGUGUGAAGCAAAACCAAUUUACGGUGCCAACACAAAUUUCAUCAAAAGAGUUCAACCACAAUUCUCAAAAGCUUCACACACUCUUGAUCAAGACAGUGUGAAGCAAAACCAAUUUAUGGUGCCAACAAAAGCUUCAUCAAUGGAAGGCAACUACAAUUCUCAAACCUUCGAAGCAAAUUCAAGACUGUUCGAAGCAAAUUCAAUUUAUAUGGUUCAUCCAAACCUUCGACUACUACAAGGUGUGGCUUGCAUCACAAUCUCUUGCUCAACAGUGUGGAAGCAAAAUUUGUAUAUGUUGUCUCUCCCACAUUUUUCAAAUUUCUAGUUUCCCAAAAAAAAAAAAUUGGGAAAUUCAACAAAGCUUCAUCAAUGGAGGACAACUACAAAUUCUCAAAAGCUUCACACUAUCUUGAUCAAGAUAGUGUGAAGCAAAAUCAAUUCGUGGUACCCAACAAAGCUUCACCACAAAAGCUUCACCAACAAAAGCUUCAUCAAUGGAGGACAACUACAAAUUCUCAAAAGCUUCACACUAUCUUGAUCAAGAUAGUGUGAAGCAAAAUCAAUUCAUGGUACCUAACAAAAAGCUUCAACUCCAAAGCUUCACCAAUAAAAACUUUAUCAAUGGAGGACAACUACAAAUUCUCAAAAGCUUCACACUAUCUUGAUCAAGAUAGUGUGAAGCAAAAUCAAUUCAUGGUACCCAACAAAAGCUUCAACUCCAAAGCUUCACCUACAAAGCUUCAACUCCAAAGCUUCACCUACAAAAGCUUCACACCCACAAUAGCUUCACCCACAAAGCUUCACCUACAAAAGCUUCACCCAUAAAAGCUUCACCAACAAAAGCUUCACCCACAAAAGCUUCACCCACCACAAAAGCUUCACCGACAAAAACUUCACCCAUAAAAGCUUUACCAACAAAAGCUUCACCCACAAAAGCUUCCACCACCAUAAAAGCUUCACCCACAAAAGCUUCCCCCAUCACAAAAGCUUCACCAACCACAAAAGCUUCACCCAUAAAAGCUUCACCUACAAAGCUUCAACACAAAAGCUUCACCUAAAAAAGCUUCACAUUAUCUUGAUCAAGAUAGUGUGAAGAUAGUGUGAAGCAAAAUCAAUUCAUGGUACCCAACAAAGCUUCAAUCUCAAAGCUUCACCUACAAAGCUUCAACAACAAAGCUUCACCUACAAAGCUUCAACAACAAAGCUUCACCUACAAAGCUUUAAAAUAUAUAUAUAUAUAUAUAUAUAUAUUUUUUUUUUUUGAAAUUCGAAAAUAAAAAAUAAAAAAAAAUUCGAAAAAUAAAAAAUUUCAAAAAAAAAUUCGAAAAAAAAAUUGCUUAGGCCUCCUUUUCUUUGGGCCUAACAACUUUCAUAACAAAUAUAUAUGAAGAAGGAGUUUUGGGCUACCACUUAGAAAGGAAAUGCCUCAUUCGUCAACUCCCUCGACCGGAGACUUAGGGGACUCCUACCAUAUGCUACUGCACCUUGAUACUCGGAAGUCUCACGACCACUCAGUGACUUGGAUUUUUCAAGUCUCCAAACGAGAAGUUUUCCUCACUCGGAAAAUUAAGGGAGCACUACCUCAACCUACAUGCUUCACUCACAAAGCUUCAACAUACAAGCUUCAACAAAAGGAAAAAUUCAAAGAACUUAGUGAAGAAGGCCUUGGUGUAUUUAACACAAUACGUUGAAAUGAAGCAAAGCUUGUUUAUUGAUAUCUCCGAUAAGUUACAAAUAUGUACAUAUACAUGAAUCAAAAUAAACAAACAAGAGGAGCCUUCACAAAGGUUGCUCAGGAGAAGUCUCAGCAGUCGGCAAGGGCCCCAGAAAGAGGAGGCACCAGAGGGUGAUUAUUCGGAGCCUCAGUACUAGGCAGAACCCCAGAAGGAGGAGGCACCGAAGGUUGAUCAUUUGGAGCUUCAUUACGCGGUACAGCCCCAGAAGACGAAGGCAAUAAAUGCCUUUGGAACAAACCCACAAACCUCUGAUGAUCAAGUAAAAUCUGACCAUCAGAUUCCUGCAGCUGGUCGAGCUUCCUCUUCAUGUUUGUAGCAUAGUCAUGUGCGAGCCUGUGCAACUGUUUAUUCUCAUGCUUGAGCCCUCUGAUCUCCUGUUUGAGACUUAUCACUUCAGCCGCCAAUGAUUCAACUUGGCGGGUUCGAGCAAAUAGGCGUUGGGCCAUAUUAGACACAGAACCUGCACACUGAACACUGAGAGCCAGAGAAUCCUUAACAGCCUUCAUCAGACCGUUUGGAAAGUAGUCUGUUAUCUUUGGGAGUGAGAAGGUUCCUGGCCACCACCGCAGCGGUCAUAUCAUUCUUCAUCACAGAGUCCCCAACGGUAAGAGGACCAGUAGGGGAUAAGAAGGAUGGGUGCCAUAUGUUGUCUUGAGAAGGCAUGGCUGCCUCUUCACCAAAGUUCAAGUCAAAACGACGGUCGGAUGGGCCAGACAUUCUCAGAAAUGAUGAAGGAGAAAUGAGGUGCAAUAAAUCUCUGAAGUAAGGGGAAAAUUCCUACAAGCAAUAACUCUCUGAAUGUACUUCUUGCACAUAAUUGGUGCCCUUAUAAAAGAAAGGGCAACAGGGCCGUUGGUUCAAAAAUCGAAGAGGCACCACUCUUCGGAUUCCAAAGAGGCACCACUUUCCACACGCAACAUCAGCUCCUCGGGUACCACAUAUAACUUUGCCAAAGAUCUCUGACAAAGUUUAGACACAUAAAUUUUAAAGGUCCAGCUAUCCUACUAUUACCCACAAGGGUAAAGGAACAACACCACUGCUUGAUAACUAGAAAGUCCCAAUGUGUGUCAACCUCCGUGCUCCGUGGCAAGGCAGACUGGCAAAAAUGCCCAACCUUUACUCACAUUUGAUAAAACACUCCCAACAAGAUUGCUUGCUCAAAAAUCGAAGAGACAUCGCCCUCCGAAUCUAGAUAGCCAGACUCCCAACAGGAUUAUUUUCUCAAAAAUCGAAGAGAUACUGCUCUCCGAAUCUCAAGAGUCAGACUCCCAACAAGAUUGCUUUCUAAAAAAUCGAAGAGGCACUGCUAUCUGAAUCUCGAGAGCUAGACUCCCAACAAGAUUACGUGCUCAAAAAUCGAAGAGGCACCGCCCUCUGAAUCUCGAGAGCCAGACUCCCAACAGGAUUACUUUCUCAAAAAAUCGAAGAGACUGCUUUCCGAAUCUCAAGAGUCAGACUCCCAACAGGAUUGCUUUCUCAAAAAUCGAAAAGGCAUCGUUAUCUGAAUCUUGAGAGCCAGAUCCUCGACAGGAUUGCUUGUUCGAAAAUCAAAGAGACACCGCUCUCUGAACUCCGAGAGCCAGAUUUCCUUGGAUAAAGCUUGUCUGCAAUCUUCACACACAACAUCAGUUUUCCAGAUACUACAAACCACUUUUUCAAAGUGCUCUGACAAAGUUAAAACACGUGAAGCUUGCAGCUCCCAUUACAUUGCUAUGACCAAGAAGGGUAAAGAAAUAGCACUACUACUUGUUAUUAGGGAGACUCAUAUAUAUAUCGACCUCCAUCCUCCACAACCAGGCAGACCUACAAAUAAAAAAAAAUGCUCAACUUUUCUUCACAUCCGAGAAGGCACCCUCAGCAGAGUCUCAUGAAAUACUCAGCUUUUUUUCCUCCCGAUAAUACCUCUGCAAACAAGCCACACCAGAGCAAGAGUAUCUCAUAUCAUCAGGGUUAAAAGCAAGAGUAUCCCAUAUCAUGCUUUUUCCCUGUUUUUUCCUUUGGCCUUGUUUUUACCUACAAGACAAGGAGAAAAAGAGCAAUCAGUCAGCGCUUGAAAUCAAGCUUCAAGUCAGGAACUACCUCUUGCCUGAUUACUUACCUGACAUUGCUCUCGAGUACUCAUCUUCAACAUCUUAUGCUUUCAGAGAAGAUACCAUAUCUGCCUGAGGAACAGAUAAGGCAAGUGAGAAGGAUACAAGGAAGCAAGUGGAGACAAGCGUAACAGAACACGUGCCGAUACAUCCACUACUUUGUCAACAACAAAAGUAUCCCAUAUCAUCAGGGUCGAACGUACUCUAGAUUUGAUGGACUUGUUUUGACCCUCAAAUUCUUGAGUCGGCCUUAUACUCUGGAGGAAACCAGAAAACCCUCCAGCCCAGUUCAAGAAUAAGCAUGUGGAAAGUUACUUCUUCAAAAGCAAAAGUAUCUCAUAUCAUCUCUUCUCCAUUUGUUUCUCCUUAUCCUUGUUGCUAUUUAAGACACAAGGAGAAGGAGAACAAUCAACCGGAAGCCGAAGUUGAACCUCUGAUCCAGGUUGCUUGCUUGGAAGUCUGAUUGCUUACCUUUUCUGUUACCUCUCUCGGCAAAUCUCCUAGCUCGACGACUUGGGGGACUCCUACUACAGGGUUUGUAUCGCACAUGACCAAGCUCGAAAUUACAAGUAAGCUUCAAGUGAAAUUGAUACAUUACCUUAUGCAUCUUCAUCGGUUAAAGAUACCACCCAUGGAUAGAGGAAAAGUACCUCUAGAGAAGAUGCCACAUCUACAUAUGAGACAGAUAAGACAAGUGAAAAUGAUACCACACUUCGGUACUUAGAAGUUUCGUGAUUACUUAAUAGCUUGGAUCUUGUAAGUCCCUAACCGAGGAGCUUCCCUUACUCGGGAGCUUAGGGGAUCACUGUUUGUACCAUACUUGACCAAUCCCAAAACUACUGAGCACCGGUCAAAGUUAUACCGUCAAGGACCCAUAAGUGUUUCCCUCCAACCAGGAGGCCAAUCACAGCGUGACACGUGUCGACAUCAGAAGCCAAUCAUAGCGCGACACGUGUCAACAUCAGAAGUCAAUCACAACACGACAUGUGUCAAUGUCAGAAUGAAACUAGAAACUCUCUUCUAUAAAUAGAGAUCAUUCUCUCAUAAUAUUUCCUAAUGUCAUUUGUACUAAAUCAUUCACUAGUACUCACUAAAGAAGAGUUUGAACAUAUGUACUUGUGUAAACCCUUCACAAUUAAUAAGAACUCCUCUACUCUAUGGACGUAGCCAAUCUGGGUGAACCACAUACAUCUUGUGUUUGCUUCCCUGUCUCUAUCCAUUUGCAUACUUAUCCACACUAGUGACCGGAGCAAUCUAGCGAAGGUCACAAACUUAACACUUUCUGUUAUACCAAAGUCCUCACUGAUUUUGUGCAUCAAUAUUGUACAAAUGAAAGGUAUGGUGACUAUAGAAGCUAAAAAUAAAUAAACAGAAAAUAAAGGAAAAGUGACAAAGAAAAAUAUUAGUUUGUGUCGUUCUCAUUGUAAUAGUCUGUCAUGUGAUAUAUUUUAUACAUUGUAAUAUGAACGAUGAGUAAGUGUUUUGUUUUUUUUGUCAAACAAUAUAUUUGUUAGAUUAGAGAAUUGACGGGGUUCGAAUCCACGUCGUGGUGCAAGGCCACCACUAGUCUCCACUACUGUGGUAGAGUGCCACUUGUGGUCAGUAAGUUAUUAAAUGGUGUGAGAAUUACACCAAAAUAUUCAUUAGUUUUGGAGUAAUGCUAGAGAGACUAAAUUUGUAGACAAAAUUUUAAAAACUAAAAGACAUAAAAGUUAAUGAUUGGUUUAUUACUUAAGUGUUAAUAAACAUGCUUAUUCCUAUUGGUGACACAUUAUUUAGUUUACAAAUUUUGUCUAUAAAUUUAGUCUCUGUGGCAUUACCCUUAGUUUUAGGCUUUGUAAUCAAAAUGGUCUUAGAGAUUGGUACAACUCUUUACUUUGGUCCCAAAUAUUGAAAAUUGAUAGAAGUAAUCCCUGAGUUUGUUCACCGUAAAUCAUUUUGGUGCAUCCGUGAAAAGUCUGUCAACACCAUCUUUAAAUUGUCAUAUGAGCGACCACAAGACAACCUUUUCCAUAGUAUUGUCAAACUAACUCCUUUUAUUAACCAAAAUGGUCGAGUUUGGUAUAACCUCUCAUUUUGAUUACUAACAAUGAAUAUCAAUAGAUGUGGUCCUUGAGUUUGUCUAUCGUAAAUCAUUUUGGUCAUUCUAUGAAAAAUUUAUCAAUAUACUCGUUAAAUUGUCAUGUGAGCGACCGCGUGAUCACCUUUUAAAGGGCAUUUUUACCAAACCAACCCCUCCACUUAACAAGAAUAUUGAUAGAGUUUUCAAGGAAGGAACAAAAUGAUUUACGAUGGUCAAACUCAAUGACCACUUCUAUCAGUUUUCAUUGUUAGGGACUAAAAUAAAGAGUCAUGUCGAUAUCAGGAACUAUUUUGGUUAAAAGGGGUUGGUUUGAUAAAAAAAUACAUUUAAAAGGGUGGUUACAUGGUCGCUCAUGUAACAACUCAAUGAUGAUAUUGAUAGAUUUUUUACUGAAUGAUCAAAAUAAUUUAUGGUGGAUAAAGUCAAAAACCACGUCUAUCGAUUUUGUAAUCUUAGAAACUAAAACGAAGAAUUAUGACAAUCUCAAAAAUCAUAAGUUUAACUAAAAACUCUUCUUGUUAUACAUCAAAAUUAAUGAAUGUGCUUUUGUAGAGGACGUAAAUGUGUCAACGAAUCAGACCUUCACUAGUUAAAACCAUCCCUACUAAUGCUGUUUGAAAAGUAAGUACUAAUAUGAUUAAUGAUUGUACAGAAAAAUAAGUACUAAUAUGAUUAAUGAUUGUACAGAAAAAAAUAUAUUAUCUGAACAGCUCAUCGUGCAUGUUGAUUGAUGUAAAGUGAAUUUUUUUUUUUUUGGUAAACUUGGGAAGGUGGAACUUGGGAAGGAAUUUCACAUUCUUGGGGUGAUCAAUAUAAUGAGAUUGUAAGUCUAGUUAAACAUGCUUAAUUAAACAUUUAAGCAUCUUUUAUUUAUUUGUUUUCAUUCUUUAUUCCUUCUUAAUUUGUUGUAAUUGUUUGGAACAACUAGCAAGACAAAUCUAGCUAGCUAGCAUUCACUGCACAAUGAAAGAUUAUUCGUAUUUGGAAAUGAAUAAUUAGUUAAAACCUGUAUUAUUAGGCAAAUGGGAUCGUAAAUAUUUGUAUCUUAAACCUUCACAGUCAGAGAUAUUCGAGUCAAUUAGUUAAAAGCUAUGAAAAUUGUGAAUGUGACAGACUACGUACUAAAGUCUGGAUUAUUUGAGAGAGAGAGAGACAUGAGUCUCGCAGCCGACUGGUCCCUCAUCUGAGCAGAAAGAACCAUAGAAAGUUAGGCAACCACGCACAUUUUCAAAGAUGUCGAUCAUGAAAAAUAUUUCACAAAUAAAUUCAGGGAAGACUUUCUGUUUAAAUUAUUAACCCAGAAAUAAAGCUCCAUCUCUUGGUAGCUAGCCUUUCUGCUACGUACUCUUGUUGCAUUAAACUAAACCUUAUUAAAGCAAAAAUAAUCACACCUUAGGUGAUAGGUUUAGGGAAAUGGUUAAUGAUUUUAGCAAGUUCUUGUUUAUUUUUUAAUUUUUAAUUUUUUUUUCUUUAAUCAAUUUAAAUGCUAAAAUUAAACAACGAUGUGCACCACAAAUAAGAGGGUGUGUGAAAAUUAUAUCUCUAUAUCUAGAGAAAAUUAUGGCAAUGGUUCUUUAACUUUAAUAAAAUUGAAGUAAUGGUCUCUCAAAUAAAAAUUUAUGAUCAUUGGUCCCUUAAUUCUUUCAAACAUGCAACUAUAGUCAUUUUCAUCAAUUCCAUAAGAACGUCCAUCAAAAUGAGUCACGUUUCAUGCAAUGAGGCUGAAUCGAAGGACAAAUAUGAAAAACCAAAUGAGAAAAAUUGUAGCAGUGGUCUCUCAACUCUAACCCAACUAGAGAAAUAGUCUCUCAACUUUAACUCAAUUAGAGUAAUGAUCCUUCAACCUUAACGUAAUUGUAGCAAUGGUUAUUCAAACAUAACUUAUUUUGACAGAAUUCUAACGGAGUUAACAAAAAAAUCAUAGCUGCACGUUUUGAUGAGUCAAGAGACCAAUGAUCAUGGAUUUUUAGUUGAAGAACAAUUGCUCUAAUUGGGUUAAAGUUGAGAGGCAAUUGCUACAAUCUUCUCCUAUAUUUAUUUAUUAUUAUCUACGUUUACAAUGAACCAUCUACUCCAUGAAGCAAGAUAUUAAAAAAGGACAAGGAUUGUCUGCCCUUCCAUUUUCCAUGCCCUCCUGUUUUGUGUGAUCACAGUUAAGCCACGUUAACAUUUUAUAUAUUUUUUAUAAAGAUAAUAAAACAAAAAUGAAUAGUAAUAUAAAAUAUUGACGUGGCUUAACCGUGACCACACAAACAAGAGGGCAUGGAAGGGCAUGGAAAAAGGAAGGGCAGACAAUCCUUUCCAUUAAAAAAAGGGCAGGGCUUAACAAAAUUCAGUCAAAGGCCUCCUUGAUCCAAACAUUAAUUGAUAAUCUAUUCAAACAGUGGCCCCAUUAGUCUUAUUUUAACAUUAAUCUUAUUUUUUACUAAGGUAAUUAAUAAUUGCAAGUGAAAUUUGGCAUGAUUACCGUGGUGUUAAAGGUAAAGACCAAAGCUAUAUAAAGGGUGAGAAGGCUUAGCUUAAGAGGCAGAAAUCCCAUUCUUAACAAAGAUGGGGAAAAUGGGGCCUUCACAAGUGACCUCUCUUGUGGUCACUAUACUAGUGGCACUAGUCUCUCUCACAUUGCCUUCAGAAACUUCAGCUAACUACCCUUACUCAUCUCCACCACCACCGGCUUCUCCUCCCUACCACUACAAGUCACCACCACCUCCUUCUCCUUCUCCUCCAGUGUACUCACCACCUAAGCAUCCCUACCACCCCAAGUCACCACCACCAUCACCAAAGCCUUACCACUACAAGUCCCCACCACCACCUCCUCCUCCAGUGCACUCACCACCCCCACCAAAGGAGCCUUACCACUACAAGUCUCCACCACCACCACCCAAGAAACCUCACCAUCACAAGUCUCCUCCACCACCACCCAGGAAGCCCUACCACCCGGUGCACUCACCCCCACCACCAAAGAAGCCUUACCAUUACAAGUCUCCUCCACCACCACCCAAGAAGCCCUACCACCCGGUGCACUCACCCCCACCACCAAAGAAGCCUUACCAUUACAAGUCUCCUCCACCACCACCCAAGAAGCCCUACCACCCGGUGCACUCCCCACCACCACCAAAGAAGCCUUACCAUUACAAGUCUCCUCCACCACCACCCAAGAAGCCCUACCACCCGGUGCACUCACCCCCACCACCAAAGAAGCCUUACCAUUACCAAUCCCCACCACCACCACCACCACACAAGAAGCCUCACCACCCAGUUCACUCACCACCUCCACCUAAGAAGCCUUACCACUACACGUCUCCCCCACCACCCCCUCCAGUCCACAAGUCUCCUCCACCACCAGUUCACUCACCACCACCACCACCUAUUAAACCUUACAAGCCACCAACACCUCCAACAGUUCACCCACCACCCGCUUACAUCUAUUCAUCACCCCCACCUCCUCACCACUACUAGAUAUUGAGAGCUUAGUUGCAUCCAGUUGGUAAGCCUCUCCAUUCUAUGUUUUUAGAUCAUAUCCAUACAACUGCAAGCAAUCGCCAAAUAAUUUGACAAAAAACAUCCCUAGCUAUAAAAUUAUAAUACACUAGUGUUUACUUCCUUUUUUGUCUAAUAAUCCAUAUUGGCAUAUGCAAGCUUAAUGCAUUUCCAGCAUAUCGUCAUUACUCAAUUAAAGUUUCUUGAUAUUUAGUAGUACUCAAGUGUAACAAAUAGACCAAUGACAGAGACCUAACAAGUAACAAUAAUAUAUAUAUAUAU
rnacentral:lncRNA from 1 species